CAUAAUCGCAUUUCUUCACAUAGUCGAGAUCCAUUGCUUCUUUCAGGGCACCAGCUUUAUACCCAUUCCUGUUGUCCCUUGAUAUGUAAUUGCAGGUGUCUGAAAGUGUAAUUUGAUGUCAUGAUGAAGAUGGAUGACAGCUCUCUUGAAAAAGAGAAAAACAAAGAAAAGAUGAUUUCAUCAGAUGACAUAGUCAUUUAUGAUGCAUCAGAAAUGCAACUUUUUGACUGCUAGUUAUGUUUUCAUUUGGAACAAGAUAUUAUUCCCCUUCAUAACUUUCCUAUGAAGGAUACACUCUACAUAGAACUUACAUUCCUUUCUUGUCAGAGGAUUUCUAAUACAUUUCAUCCAUCUAUUACGAUCUAUCUAUGCAAAACGAGCUGUUCCAGAUUAAGUUACCUCCCUCUCAUUGAACAUGGGGAUUUGGACGAGGACCAGAGGAUAGGCCAGAGAGCCGAGCUCGACAUCCUGCGACAAUGGCGCCCACUUGUAGAUCCUUUC